CUUCAACAUCCCGAUUUUCAAUUUCACUACCUGUGGUGCUUACGGUACUCUGGCCUACAUCUCUCUCUGGUUGAAUCUCCCCCACCGGUCGACCACCACCGACGAUUUCUCAAUCCCGGGAUUCCCAGAACGGUGCCGUUUUCAUCGCUCCCAGCUUCACCGGUUCUUAUUAGCCGCCGACGGCACCGAUUCCUGGUCCAAAUAUUUCCAGCCACAACUCUCCUCUGCUUUGCGCUCCGAUGGAUGGCUAUGCAACACUGUCGAAGAAGUUGAAUAUUUCGGAUUGGGGCUUUUGAGAGAUUACAUCAAAAUCCCCGUCUGG
rnacentral:misc_RNA from 1 species